rnacentral:lncRNA from 1 species
GGUGAUUAAAAACCCCUCAGGCCCUAGUUGAUUCUCCUCUCCCUCUCUUCUUCCUCUCCCACCCCUCGAUGCCACUAUCGUCGGAUCAUCCAAAGGGGGAGAUGAAGAUGGUCCUCUUCAUCUUCCACUCUCUCGAUGCCACCAUCGUCAAAUUGUCCAAACACGAAGAUGGAACUGUCGGUAGAGGGGUCCCCAAAAGAGACACUGGCGAAGAGGUUCCUGAAGAGGAGAUCGGACAGAGAUGUAUCCCUGGAAGAGACAUUGGCAGAGGAGUCCCAA